rnacentral:rRNA from 1 species
CGGGGGGAGCAAGCGUUAUCCGGAUUCACGUGGGUUUAAAGGGUGCGUAGGUGGGCAGGUAAGUCAGUGGUGAAAUCUCCGGGCUUAACCCGGAAACUGCCAUUGAUACUAUCUGUCUUGAAUACCCUGGAGGUGAGCGGAAUAUGUCAUGUAGCGGUGAAAUGCUUAGAUAUGACAUAGAACACCCAUUGCGAAGGCAGCUCACUACGGGAAUAUUGACACUGAGGCACGAAAGCGUGGGGAUCAAACAGGAUUAGAUACCCUGGUAGUCCACGCCCUAAACUAUGGAUACUCGACAUCAGCGAUAAACUGUUGGUGUCUGAGCGAAAGCAUUAAGUAUCCCACCUGGGAAGUACGAUCGCAAGAUUG